AUUCCAUGGUGAGGAAAUUUCCAUAGAAGGUCCUUAAAUCUCUCCCAUCUAUCAGAAACUGCUUCAUCUUCUUCUUGGCGAAAGGUCAUAAUUUCAUUUCUAUUUUU